CCGCGUCUCUCUCUAGUACCCUUCUCCUUUUUUUUUUUCAUUGAUUUGGCUUUGCUUUCCUGUUCGGUGAAUUUUUUGGCAGUCUUGUAGGCUCAACUGGAAGUUGGGUUUUCUCUUUGGAUUGUUUCCGCAAAAGGUUGGAGGAUGGGUAUGGGAUUUGGUCGGUGUGGACGCAGAACCGGCCUUGGAAUACACUGCCGGGAGGGGUGAUUUUCACCGAUGUGUCGGCGUGGACGUAGAUGUUGAAGAGGUGACGGUUGCCAUCGAAGAAUUUCUCGAGAAAGGGAGCGAAAGAGAGGUCGGAGUUUGUGAGGAAGAGGAAGGCAAUCUUGGGCUUGGGAUUGGUGGCGGUGCCCAAGUGGGAGUGCGUGGAGCACGUGCGCACGGGGGAAAGGCGGGUGGUCUUGCGGAAGAGGGCUAGGUCGGCGAGGUCAUCGGAGAAGCGUGCCGGCGGGAGGAUUUUAGGGCCGAAGACAAAGAGAAGGGCUAUGGAGAGGAACAGAGCGAAGCAGAGGACAAAUGGGGUUGAUGAUCAGGUGAUGGAUGAAGAAAUAGAGAGAGAGAGAGAGAGAGAGAGAGACGCACCAGGAUGUAGAUGAGAGAGGCAAUAAUAAUGGUGCGGUAGCGCCCCAGAAAAGAAUCGGCGACAAAUGCACCCAACAAAGGCAGCAGCUGCGCCGUUCCAGACCACGCGUUCACGUUCUCGGCCGCCGUGACCGUGGACUGCCCCAGCGGCCCAGUCAGGAAAAAAUAAAAGUGGGCCUUUUGAAUUCGUCAUCGAUAAAGAAAAUGGCCCCCAUAGAAACACCCACUACUGCAAUUGUCAAGCUGAAGAAAGGGCAAAAAGGUAAUUGCACAGCGCAAAAUCAUGAGAGGUGACACGUGUGCUUUGUAUAUCGAUCGUUUGAAGUUUGUAUGCCAACAGAAACGACGUCGUGUAAUCCCAGACCUCGGAACCGGAACGCUUCGGGAGAUUGUGAAAGUUUCUCUUCUUACAUUUCUUGAGCAUCAGAUCUGCUUCGUCUUCUUCUGCUUAUUUCUCUUGAGCCACUGCAUCAGAUCGGCUUCUGUUUUUCUUCCACUACAUCCGGAAAUGGGUACGACUGCUAAGUCUACAAACUCUCUUGCUUUCUUCUUCAAUCAUUUGUGUAUGGAUCAUCGUUAUUCUCAUGCAAGGCUUUCUUUCCAUGCUCUAUAUUUUUUUUUAUUAUUAUUAUUAUUAUUGUCGUAGUUUUAGUGCUACUUCUGCUAACACUACCAAUAGUGGUAGAGAUAUUGUGGAAAGCCCCAAUCACUUCUUGCAAUCUGUGAGAGAUCGAUGCAAAUUUCGAAGCUUAAGCAAUCUUGAUGAUGCCUUACCCCUGUUUCAUAGAAUGCUUCACAUGUACCCCUUGCCUUCCCUCGUGGAUUUUAAUCAAUUGCUGGGUGCAAUUGCAAGAACGAAGCAUCACUCAACUGUGAUUUCUCUGAUUAAAGAAAUGGAAAUGUCAGGAAUUGCUCCCGAUGUUUGUACUCUAGGUGUUUUGACUAAUUGCUUCUGCAAUUUGAGCCGGGUGGAUUUUGGCUUCUCUAUCUUAGCAAGAAUUUUGAAACUAGGUUUCCAACUGGACUCUAUAAUUCUUAAUACCCUUGUCAAGGGGCUCUGUCUUCAAGGUAGAAUUGCUGAAGCUGUGAAGUAUGCUAACAAAAUGGAGAAGAUUGGCUAUAAACCUGAUACAGUUACUUAUGGAACAAUAAUAAACAGUAUGUGUAAAAUAGGUGAGACCAGGGUGGCUAUUGGGUUGCUUCGAAAGAUGGAAGAACGAAAGCUUGAACUUAAUGUAGUGCUGUAUAACACUAUCAUUGAUAGUUUAUGUAAGGACAGAUUGGUAACUGAAGCUUUAAACUUUUUACCCGAAAUGACAAAUAGAGGAAUUCAGCCAAGCAUUUUCACUUACAAUUCUUUAAUUCAGAACCUAUGUAAUUUCGGCCGGUAGAAGGAGACAACUAAACUAUUGAAGGAGAUGGUUGAAAGGAAAAUCAUGCCAAAUGUGUGUACAUUCAGCAUAUUGGUGGACACACUUGGCAAAAAAAAAGAUGUUGAAAGAGGUAAAAGAAGUCUUUGAUGUAAUGAUUCAGAGAGGGAUAGAGCCCAACACAAUCACUUACAAUUCUUUAAUUGACAGUUACUGUUUGCAAAAUAGAAUGGAUCAGGCCAGAACAGCCGGAUUCCUGCAAUU